GACGAACGCUGGCGGCGUGCUUAACACAUGCAAGUCGAACGGAAAGGCCCUGCUUUUGUGGGGUGCUCGAGUGGCGAACGGGUGAGUAACACGUGAGUAACCUGCCCUUGACUUUGGGAUAACUUCAGGAAACUGGGGCUAAUACCGGAUAGGAGCUCCUGCUGCAUGGUGGGGGUUGGAAAGUUUCGGCGGUUGGGGAUGGACUCGCGGCUUAUCAGCUUGUUGGUGGGGUAGUGGCUUACCAAGGCUUUGACGGGUAGCCGGCCUGAGAGGGUGGCCGGCGACAAUGGGACUGAGGUACGGCCCAGACUCCUACGGGAGGCAGCAGUGGGGAAUAUUGCACAAUGGGCGGAAGCCUGAUGCAGCAACGCCGCGUGCGGGAUGACGGCCUUCGGGUGGUAAACCGCUUUAGCCUGUGACGAAGCGUGAGUGACGGUAAUGGGUAAAGAAGCACCGGCUAACUACGUG
rnacentral:rRNA from 1 species